rnacentral:misc_RNA from 1 species
CUGAGUCACGUGCUCAAACAACCCUUCUGUGGACCUAAAUCAAACCGUUGCCUCGGCGGGCGGUCCCCUGCCAAAACCCACGUGGUGUGGGGCAGGGGACCAGACAGUUCGGUACGCUUAAGGCGUCCGGCGCCAGCCGCUGGCCCUAAACAAUUAAACUCUAGUAACCUUACCUUCUGAGUUUUAAUACAAAAAAAUAAGUCA